rnacentral:rRNA from 1 species
UACGAAGGGGGCUAGCGUUGCUCGGAAUCACUGGGCGUAAAGCGCACGUAGGCGGAUUGUUAAGUCAGGGGUGAAAUCCUGGAGCUCAACUCCAGAACUGCCUUUGAUACUGGCGAUCUCGAGUCCGGGAGAGGUGAGUGGAACUGCGAGUGUAGAGGUGAAAUUCGUAGAUAUUCGCAAGAACACCAGUGGCGAAGGCGGACUCACUGGCCCGGUACUGACGCUGAGGUGCGAAAGCGUGGGAGCAACAGGG